rnacentral:rRNA from 1 species
AACGGCCGUACCAUGCUGAAUAUACCGGUUCUCGUUAGAUCACCGAUCAUCAUUGGGCGCGGUCAGUACUUGGGUGGGUGACCACCUGGGAACACCGCGUGC